UGCAAUCAAAGAAAAUGUAAAUCAAGAAACGCUUUCACAACUCAAAAGGAUGGUCUUGGGAAAACCAGAAAUAAGUUGCUGGCUCACUCAUGGACCUGGUUAAGGAUGUGGCUCACUCUGGGUUUAAUUCUGAAUACUACAGAAAUGUCAAAGAACAGCUGCUGACAUAAGCCCAGGGUCUCACUAGCUUUUCCUUCCACUUCUAACAAGCCAUCUCAUGGAUGACCAGACAACAUGGAGAAAAGAGGUCUCCUAGAAAGCCAAGGCCCAGAAGAGUGAGGAGAAGGCCUGUGUCCGGAAGAGUCUACUGAUUCUAAACCUAAGACAUACUGAGAAGAAAAUCAACUCUCUAUCAAGGAAUGUAGGAUCUUUUAUUUUAGAAAAGAUCACAGUUAAAUAUGGUCUCGCCAGGAAUCAAGUUUCAAAAUACUAUAUUACAAGUUUCCAGAAAAUGUCAAGUGUCAGAACUCAAGAGAUACUACAUGUACAGUGAGAUGUGGAGUUAGAGUAGGCAGUGGAUUGACCUAGAAAGAUGCAAGCUCAGAUGAAGAACAAUUUCUGGACAGUAAAGUUAAAUUACCAGUGGAGGUGUUAACAGUCCGCCCCUCACCCAGAGGCCUCAUAAAAUCAGCUCUGUUUCCUCCCACCUAAGGGGCUGAGCUGGUGCACCUGCAGACAGAGGGCUGCGAGGUGGCCCCAUAGCCCCAGGUGCUCUCAAGGUGCUGAUCAACCUCAGGCCACAUCAGGUCGCUCCAGUACACAGUUUCACUAAUUUCUCUUAUUUGCUGACCUACCUGACCCUGCUGGCAUUUAGUGAACCUCUUGGUUUCAAAUUCUAAGUCUUUCUUUUAUGUUCCAACUAAAUUGGGCUCUCCUAUUGUCUCAAAAAUCUCAGGGAAACCUGCAUUUCUAAUUUAUCCCACAAGAGACCAAAGAAUCAAGGUGUGCAGUGUUGUAGAAGUGAGCUCUUCUCUUUCCUCUCACCAAGCAUGUUUAAGAUCACACUUGCGUAUCCACCAAGGAGAUCUGAGGUUUAAUUUUUAAAAAGAAGCAACUCCAUUUCUCAAAUUACUGCUUAAGACUGUGUAGAUAGUCCUGAACUUUGUCUUAGAAGAUGUAUUUGGAUAGAAGUUUGUUAAGUCCCAGGAAAGAGAGAAGAAUAAGAGGGAAUUCGGGACCUAGCUCUUGUCUGACCUGGCCUCUCUGUCCUGUGUCCUCUGCAUCAGUAAACUGAAGCAGUUCUCCUUUGAGGUGUGGGGGGAAUUUAAUAAAACUGUAUUGGUGGAAGGUUCUAGACACUCUGGAAAGUAAACAUCUUCAUUAAUCAGUGUUUGCUGAACACCCAUGGCUUAUAAAAAGCAUUUUCUGGGAACAGAUUUCCACCACGUCCAACAUCAGAGCAAAGCAUUCUGCUCAGCACAGGAUGGGCAUUAGAGGCAUGUUAGCCAGUUUUGAUCACCCCUCCCCAGUCCUCGGUGUCCAGUAUUCUUGAAUAAGAGAAAACAGCUCUGGGAGGAAGAAAAAAAUUCAGCAACAUAAACUAGGAGCAUCUCAUCAAUGAAAUGUUCUCUACAUAACUCAGAGCUGCACAAGAGAACAUGGAUUCUUCAGCAACAAGUUGAACAGUCACAGCUCCAGUCCAUUAAAAAAAAAAAAAAGUGACAUGUUAUCUACUCAAUGGAAAAACUUGUGCAUGUUUUCUUUUGGUUUGUAGAAACAACAUAGUGAAAACUCAAACCAUUUCAAAUGCACUUGGGCUGUUAAGGGUUGUAAAGCUCUUGAAUUCAAGCAGAGAAAACAAAAGCCUCAAAUAAGAAAAUAUUUACUUGCUCAUAAAGUUCGCAUGUAAGAGAAGGUAUUCAGCUGUAUGUUAUUUAUAAAUGAUUAAUUACUUUGUCACCUGAAUAAAAUAAUGUAUAGGAAA